UCUGUUUUACAGUAUCUUUUCUUUAAACUGUAUCCCAGACUGACACCAAUGUCAAAGAUCAAGAGAAAUAUGGUAUUACUAAAGGUUUCCUUCGUUUAUUUGUUUGUUUGUUUGUUUGUUUGUUUACUUGUUUGUUUAUUUGUUUUGUUGUUUAUUCUCUCUUUUCUUUCUUUCCUUUUUUCGAUAGAUUUCAGUUUAUCCAAUCGAAUCCUUCCUUCUCUGAUCUUACACACUAAUACCUCUUAAUAUUCUCAUGUCAAUAUUUGACUUCAAACGAUCGAGAAUGUCAAACUUCGAAAUCAAAAAUGAUUAUUCAUAUGCAUAUAAUAUAUGUAUGUAUGUAAAUCGUUGAAGAAUUGAAAUCUUUCGACGUUUUUGAUUAGCCGUACGUUCUUUUCGAAAUUAUCAAGGACGUACAUAUAUAUAUAUAUAUAUGUGUUUAUUUAUAAAGAUUUUAUGUUUAUUAUCGACAGUCAUCUGAGUUUUCGUCCCGUUAAAAUCUUUUUUCGUAUCUUUAUUCCUUUUUUUUCUUCAAUUAUUUUUUUUUCUUUUCUGUUUUUUAGAUGGAGAACUACAUAAAUGCAUUGUAAAAUAUAGGAUAUAAUUCAUUGUAAAUAGGGUCGACGACCCUAUGGGUAUUCGCGUCGAUAAACCAAAACCGAUUUAAUGAACGGGUCGUGGCCGAGCAUCAAACCGCGUCAGUCUGCUUUUCUCUUGCUAUCUGGCUAGAGAUAUACGUAGGUAUUAAGCCACGUGCAAAAUAAUGCAUCGUCGUGGUGAUGUCCGCAGCUGUAGCUGCUGCCUGUGCAGCCUGGACACGUAUGUAGCUAUGAGUUCGAAGCUAUUCCAUCCUGUCAUCCUCUCUCUCUCUCUCUCUCUCUCUCUCUCUCUCUUUCUCUCUCUCUCUCUCUCUCUCUCUCUUUCUCUCUCUCUCUCUCUCUCUCUCUGUGUGUCUCUGUCACUGUCUCUCUUUCUCUCUCUCUCUUUCACUUUUUCUCUAUCUUUCUCUCUCUCUUUUGCCCUCUCGAGUUCACUCCUACAUAGGUGGACGGUUACACGCACAGUCGAUAGUUUCUCGACGUUCUCUCUUUCUCUCUCUCUCUUUCUCUCUCUCUCUUUCUCUCUCUCUCUCUCUCUUUCUCUCUCUUUUUCUCUCUCUACUUUAGGGUUAUAUUUAGGUGAACUCUGGUAUUAUCCAACGAACGUAGAAACGGACGUACAGACAACGAACGUCGCGGAGAGUGCUUUUACCAUCUUGUCCGUUAGAUCCGACGACGGUAGCCUGCGACGACGACGACGACGACGACGACGACGACGACGACGACGACAAUGAAGAAGAUAGCCUGCGGCACUCGUUCGAUAGAUCGAUAACAAGUCUCCAAUGAUGCUCUUAAAAUCGAACGAAUCUCCGACACUCCAUGUUUUAACUAUCCAUCCGAUAUACAUAGCUCUCGAUCCAACAAAUGAUCACGAUAAUCCAUUAAUCUAAUUAACAGAGAGUAGAGAGAGAGAGAGAGAGAGAGAGAGAGAGAAAGAGAGAUUACAAGUUGCCAAGGGUGGCCCAAUCCCUUAAGGUAUUAUUAUUAUUAUUAUUAUUAUGUUGUUUGUCCUUUAGAUUCCGAGAGAUAAUACGCAUCAAACAGGUAUCCUUUUAUUAUUAUUAUUAUUAUUAUUAUUAUUAUUAUUAUUAUUAUUAUUAUUAUUAUUAUUAUUUUGUUUUAUAUUAUUAUUAUUUUGUUAAUCUUAUAAGUUUGUUUUCUCUUCGUCAUGGCCAUAGAUUCUCCUCCAGUGGAAUUGUAUCGAUCGUAUUUUCUUACUACCAUUCUCGUUGGACAGUCUCGCUCUACUGUUACUACAUAGAAUCCGUGGUGUCCGUCUCGAUAAAUCGAUAUGUUCAUCCCGUACGAGCUAAGAGCAUCAAAGGGAAAGAAUAUUUCCCGCUCCUAUUUCGAGAUCCAAUCGAUUAUCCAACGAACUACGCAAAUAAAAUUUGAUUAACUUCCCGGAGGAAAGAGGAACGUCAUGUACAGUUCAUAUCAUUUAAAAAGUUAAUAAAAUCCGCCGUUCUGAAAGUUUGAAAGCUACUUUCGUAUGAAAAAUAUUCGUUAAUUUAGCGAAAAAUAUUAACGUCAAUUAAAUAAUUCGGAUGUUCGGUGCACGAAAACAAAAAAAAAAGAAAAAGAAGAAAGGAAAAACAGAAAGA